AUGGCAUUUCUGGCUGGGACCAUGGGUGGAUGGUGGAUAUUUGUUGGCGCUCUGGCAGGGAUCCUCACCGGCCCCCGUGGGAUACAUGGAGCUUGUAUCUACGAGGGAUCGUUGCAUGCGGUGUUUUUGGAGACCAAACCAGAGCUCGAAGUGAAUACUGGACUUACUGGAUUGCCGGGUGAGCAGAAACACGACUGCUAAUGAAUGCUAACUUUGCUGAAUGUGUAAAGAGAAAAAUGUUCACCAUUUAUAAAAUUACAAUGUAAAUGCUGUGCUUAGAUCUUUGGUGGAAACCUUUUAUAAAUAGUUUUUGGGAUUUCCAUGCCAAGCUGAAAGGGAAGGACAGAAGUAAGAAAAGAAAGAACAAAGGGAGGAAGAUAGAAGGAAUCAAAGUAAUUUGGAAAGAUAUGGGUUAAGAGAAAAGGUAAAAAAAGAGGAAAAAAGGAAAAGAAAGACAAAAAAUGUAAGAAAUAAGGAAAGAUGGGAACAAAGUUCAGUAAUAAAAUAAAGCCAAAGAAUACUAAUGAGAUUUUAAAGAUGAGCCCUGAUUUGAUACAGAUGAAAGAGAGAGAGACUUGGGGUGUCUGUGGUUCAGGAGGUAGAGCAAAUUGUCUAUAAUUGCAGGGCUUACAGUUCUAUCCCCAGUCCUCCACAUGCCAAAGUGUACUUGAGCAGGACGAGCGCACUUCGGCCUGUGGCACUGAGUCCUGAGUUAGUCUGAGUCUGUGUGAAUGAAAGGCACACUGUAAAGUGCUUUGGGUAAAUGUUUUACAUAUAUAUAUAUAUAAAUGCACUCC
rnacentral:lncRNA from 15 species